rnacentral:rRNA from 1 species
GACAGAGGGUGCAAACGUUGUUCGGAAUUACUGGGCGUAAAGCGCAUGUAGGCGGCCAAGCAGGUCGGAUGUGAAAUCCCUCGGCUCAACCAAGGAAGUGCAUUCGAAACCGCAUGGCUCGAGUCCCGGAGAGGAAGGUGGAAUUCUCGGUGUAGAGGUGAAAUUCGUAGAUAUCGAGAGGAACAUCGGUGGCGAAGGCGGCCUUCUGGACGGUGACUGACGCUGAGACGCGAAAGCGUGGGGAGCAAACAGG